UUUUUUCUAACUAAUUUUGACAUGGUAUGCAAUCUUACAUGUCCUAGUCUCCUAUGCCAUAACCAGCUAUCAUUUUCAGCAUUGGCAACUAAACAUAUUUCAUCAUUCAUUGCAAGAUGCUCAAGAAAAAUAACAUACAUAUUUUUCAAUCUCUUUCCUAUAAAUGAGACUUUAUUUGUACCUAUAACUAUUACUUCACACUUGUUUGAAUCAAAACAUACUUUAAAUCCU
rnacentral:lncRNA from 1 species